GGAUGCUCAGCGUGUUCCGGCUCUCAGGAGUACACGUCUUACCGGGAUUCUGUCUUACCAGGUAGGCGUUGGACCUGGGAGGGAACCUGGUUGAAGCCUUGGGCGGGGAUGCUGACCAAGCUUCGGGCUGCGACUGCAAACAAGCAAAGAAAGGUGGUGGGCAAGGCGAGCGGUGACCAGGAACAAAGCCUCAGGCAAGGAAGAAGUAAACAAGCAACCACAGGAAGCCAUUAAGCAGAGUGGGCGCUAAUGAGUGCGCGGCGGGGCCCUGCGCACCCGCCCCGCCAAAACCACCGGGGACUGCCUCGCCGGGCAAUUUGGAGCCUUGAGCCCUGCUGGCAGGCUAUAAACCUGUUUGUAGUCUCCAUCGGUUCCCCCUUCAAGUUUGUGUCGUUAGGGGUGAGGAGGAAAGACCAUCGGAUGCUGUGAUCUCUUCUCAGGACCUGCAGUUGCAGGGGGCAGAUGGGCUUCCAACUCCAAGGCAUCGCAUAGCAUCACAUAGCAUAGCAUAGCAUCGCAUCGCAUCGCAUCGCAUCGCAUCGCAUCACAUCGCAUCGCAUCGCAUAGCAUCGCAUACCAUAGCAUAGCAUCGCAUACCAUAGCAUCGCAUCGCAUCGCAUCGCAUCGCAUCGCAUCGCAUAGCACUUUCCAGCUCUAUAAAAGCUAUCCAGUACGGACGAAGCUUCCAAGGUGCUGCCAUGAGAGGAGGAGAGUGAAGCCCACCCCCUGCAGCCCAGGCUAUACAGCUAUAGGCAGUCUGUCACUGUUACGAUAACAAUGUAUCUGAUGCUGUUUUUGUGAAUGGAGAAUAUUCUUUGAGAAUUUACUCAACAAUGUUUGUACACUAGUGUCUUAGUCAGGGUUUCUCUUCCUGCACAAACAUCAUGACCAAGAAGCAAGUUGGGGAGGAAAGGGUUUAUUCAGCUUACACUUCCACACUGCUGUUCAUCACCAAGGAAGCCAAGACUGAAACUCAAGCAGGUCAGAAAGCAGGAGCUGAUGCAGAGGCCAUGGAGGGAUGCUCAUUACUGGCUUGCUUCCCCUGGCUUGCUUAGCCUGCUUUCUUAUAGAACCCAAGACUACCAGCUCAGGCAUGGUCCCACUCACAAGGGGCCUUUCCCCCUUGAUCACUAAUUGAGAAAAUGCCUUACAGUUGGAUCUCAUGGAGGCAUUUCCUCAACUGAAGCUCCUUUUUCUGUGAUAACUCCAGCCUGUGUCAAGUUGAUACAAAACUAGCCAGUACAACUAGUAUCAAUUCAACUUUAAGAAAUUAGCAUGUUUUCGCAUUUACUGUUUUAUUUUUGUUUGUUUAUUUUUGGAGAUAGGGUUUUUCUGUGUAGCCCUGGCUGUCCUGGAACUAUCUGUGUAGAUGAGGCUGGCUGGCCUGGAACUCACAGAGAUCUGCCUACCUCUGCCUCCCAGUGACAGGACUAAAGGCGUGAGCCACCACUGCUCAGCUCCAUUUACAUUUAAUUGUUUUGGGUUUUGGUUUGGUUUGUUUACAUUCUUACAUUUCAAUGGCUUUUUUACAAUAGGAAAGAUGUUUUCAUCAUAUGCCAAAAUCUUUAUAAUAUUCUUUGGGGAAGCCUAAAAUCCUAUUUCCCAACAGACAAAAGUGAGUGAGGUUCCUUCCAACAGUUAAAGGAGCAAACUGAAAACUUGCUUUUGGGGGCUGGAGAGAUGGCUCAGCAGAUAAGAGCACUGACUGCUCAAAAUAACAACCAAAAAAACCCCGGACGUGGUGGUGCACGCCUUUAAUCCCAGCACUUGGGAGGCAGAGGCAGGUGGAUUUCUGAGUUCGAGGACAGCCAGGGCUAUACAGAGAAACCCUGUAUUGAGAAAAAAAAAACAAAAAACCCUCCCCACCUAAAAAAAAGAAAGAAAGAAAAUUUGCUUUUGGUACUUAAAAACGUACCCACUUGAAAACUGAUUAAAAACAGCUUUGGUACUUUGGGGAGCCUGCAAGACUGCUUAGUGAGUAAAGGCACUAGCUGCCAAGCUGACUAUCGGAGUCUAAUCCCUGGGACGCACAUGGUGGGAAGGGAUAACCAGCUCCCUAAGUUGUCCCCUGAGCUCCUCCACCUUUGUACUGUGGUGCACGUGCAUGUACACAUACGCAUGCAUAAACACAGAAUAAAUACAUACACU
ensembl:lincRNA Gm16702 predicted gene, 16702